UUUGACUCAACGCGGAAAAGCUUAUCUGGUCCGGACGCAGUGAGGAUUGACAGACAGUUUCAGGAGUGGUUCUUGGUAAACAAUUGAGAGAGUUGAAGUUCUUUCAUGAUCUUGUGAGAGGUGGUGCAUGGCCGUUCUUAGUUCGUGUAGUGAUAUGUCUGCCUAAUCGCGUCACGAUAACCUAUUGGUCGACAACCCAAUUAUCACAACUGCAGCAUAACUCCCCUUGGGUGGGCGAGGCUCUGUGUAGGAUAGACCUCUGAACAGUACGCAACGAACGCGAUCGUAAUCCCUUGUUGAGUGGCCAUCCUGUAAGCUGCUGGAUUAGGAACCCAGUGGUAUUAUCUCAGCCACAGAUUUUCUGGUUGUAAUGGGCCAGUUUUGAAACUCGGGGAACAUCUGUGACUUUCUUUCUUAACGCAGAGGAAGGUUAUGGCAAUAACAGG
rnacentral:rRNA from 1 species